UUGGAGGGUGUUUGUGGUUGCAGACCGGAGGGUGCGUGAGGAGGUCUGGGGGGUGAGGAGUUCCUGUAGGUAAAGGGGGGCAUCACCAUGAAUGC